rnacentral:misc_RNA from 1 species
GUAGGUGAACCUGCGGAAGGAUCAUUAGUGAAUAACGUGUCGGUCUUCGCUUCGGCAAGGCCUUCACACCCUCACAUCCAUAACACCUGUGAACUGUAAGAUGUGGUGAACUCGUUUGCCCAUCUGCCCUUUUUAUAAACAUCUUUAGUAACAAAAGUAGUCUUAUUAUAAUCUAAUAAAACUUUCAACAACGGAUCUCUUGGCUCUC